GGAAUCUUCCACAAUGGACGAAAGUCUGAUGGAGCAACGCCGCGUGAGUGAUGAAGGGUUUCGUCUCGUAAAACUCUGUUGUUGGAGAAGAACAGGUGUCAGAGUAACUGUUGACAUCUUGACGGUAUCUCACCAGAAAGCGACGGCUAACUACGUGCCAGCAGCAGCGUUAAUACGUAGGUGGCAAGCGUUGUCCGGAUUUAUUGGGCGUAAAGCGAGCGCAGGCGGUUUUUUAGGUCUGAUGUGAAAGCCUUCGGCUUAACCGGAGAAGUGCAUCGGAAACCGGGAGACUUGAGUGCAGAAGAGGACAGUGGAACUCCAUGUGUAGCGGUGAAAUGCGUAGAUAUAUGGAAGAACACCAGUGGCGAAGGCGGCUGUCUGGUCUGUAACUGACGCUGAGGCUCGAGAGCAUGGGUAGCG
rnacentral:rRNA from 1 species